AAAAAAUAAAUAAAUAAAAAAAUAAAAAAAGAGAAAAAGAGAAAAUAAUAUUGACCUUGAAAAAGACGAUAGUGUGAAAGCCGUCGUUGUAAAAAUUCGAGUAAACUGGAAUAUUACAGAUAAAGCCCAUGAGGUAUUAAAGUAAACAUCCACAACUCUCGAAAUCCUGCAAGGUAGGAUGAUUUUGAAUUAGUGAUUAGGUCUUAUCUGACUAAUUCUUAGAAACUACUAGUUUUAGCAGUAUUUUGGAGAAUCUAAAGCCUUAGCUUGUGUAUGGUCCAGACAUCACCGAGCACCCAAGUAUAAAUUAGCCUUACAACUCUCUAACGGAAACUUAAUGACUUCAACUUAAGUUGCAUACUGACCUAGGAUUUGGGCUGACUUAGUAAUUAAAACUUUGUGUGCUUUUGAAAUUCUUGGCAUUAAUGCAUUUGAAAUUAGAUUUUAUAAAAAAAUUGUUGCCCAGUAGAUACAACCCAAGAGGGGGGGUGAAUUGGGUCUUUUAAAACUUUUAUACUACUUCUAAAACUUUUCAAUUAAUUAUGCUAAGUUGUAUAGAUGCACAGUGGAAUUUAAACUUAGCAACAGUUUGAUUUAUUGAAUGAGACUUGAUUAAGUAAAUUAAAUAUGCUUGCAACUAAAGGAUGCGCAGAUAAGAGUUAAGUAAGCAAUUUAUCUAAGUAAGUAAGUGAGCAAGUUAGACAAUGACAAAAAGCAUCACAAACAC
rnacentral:lncRNA from 1 species